AUACGGAGGGUGCUAACGUUGUUCGGAAUUACUGGGCGUAAAGCGCGUGUAGGCGGCUUAGCAAGUCAGAUGUGAAAGCCCUCGGCUCAACCGAGGAAGUGCAUUUGAAACUGCUAGGAUAGAGUACGGGAGAGGGUUGUAGAAUUCCAGGUGUAGAGGUGAAAUUCGUAGAUAUCUGGAGGAAUACCGGUGGCGAAGGCGGCAACCUGGACCGAUACUGACGCUGAGACGCGAAAGCGUGGGGAGCAAACAGGAUUAGAAACCCUGGUAGUCC
rnacentral:rRNA from 1 species